rnacentral:RNase_P_RNA from 2 species
AGGCAGGCUUAGGUGGACGCCCCCCCGUUUUGAUUCGCUUUUGCCUGCCUGGUAGACAGGCGAAUGCAAAACGAAUCAGGGGGGGAGGAAAGUCCGGGCUCCGGAGGGCAGCGCACCCUGAGAAUAUCAGGGCAUCCCGAAAGGUGCGGGAUAGGAUAAGAGCCACAGAGACGAGUAGCAGCCACAAGUUGUGAUUAGGGACGGCUGCGAUGUGAAACGAGGCAAUCUCUGCGCGGAGAAAGGUCAAAUAGGUCCCGAUUGAUGAGAGUGGCCCGCUCUGACAAAACUACUUUUGUAGUAAUUGGAUCGGGAUGGGUAGACUGCUUGAGUUCCGAUGGCAACAUCGGAAUCUAGAGGAAUGUCCAUAAAUAACAGAACCCGGCUUAUGAGCCUGCCUAAAU